rnacentral:RNase_P_RNA from 1 species
UGGGUUGGCAAGACGGCCGCGUUGUCCGUGAGGACACCGAGGAACGUCCGGGCUCCACAGGGCAAGACGGUGGGUAACACCCACCCGGGGCAACCCGCGAGAAAGUGCAACAGAGAGUAGACCGCCCGCGGCCUUGGUCACGGGUAAGGGUGAAACGGUGGUGUAAGAGACCACCAGCGUCUGUGGUGACACAGACGGCUGGGUAAACCUCGUCUGGAGCAAGGUCAGACAGAGAGCGAUGAGGCUGCCCGCCAAGUUCUCGGGUAGACCGCUAGAGGCGUGCGGCAACGUACGUCGUAGAUAGAUGGCCGUCCAACCGAAACAUAUCGGGGGACAGAACCCGGCGUAGUAGCCGACCCACUCA